rnacentral:rRNA from 1 species
AUGAGUCCUAGCCUAACUGGUGCGGUGAUCUUGCCGGCGAUUGGCACAACAGGAGGGGCACUGCUGGCCUGGGACGCAUAUAGAUUCGAGGUGGACACGGCAGACAUCUCCGCGUUCGCCAUCAUAGUCCUCGUCAAGCCGCGGACUGGCGAAUCCCCCUGGGCGCUCACCACCGUCUAUGGCCCGGCCGACGAUAGCAUAAAACCGUUGUUCCUUGCCGAUUUGGUGAGGAUACAUGGGCUGAUCGCUGUGCAAUGGCUGCUCAUAGGGGAUUUCAACCUCAUCUACGAGGCUCGCGACAAGAGUAAUUCCAACCUCAAUCUCAACUUGAUGGCACAAUUCCGAUCGGCCUUAAACGCCAGCGCCCUAGUUGAGAUCAAGCUAUACGGCAGACGUUUCACCUGGUCAAACGAUCAGCGAGACCCCACGCUCGUCCGGUUAGAUCGUGCAUUUUGCUCGCCAGACUAG